UGUAAGUUAUUAUUCUGUUAACUUCUGUGUCUCAAAGCUUGCUGGGGACACAGAUGGACUUGUUCAAGUCCAGACAAGUCCCGAGCAAGGAUUGUGAAAUCCUUUGUCUGGGGGAAUGCAGAUGGACAAGGCCAGGGGCAACGAGAGCGAGAUGAGCUGCAGCUAAAUAGCUGUGAAGUGCUCCUUUGUGUGGACCUAUCUCCGGAUGAUGGCCAUCUCAGGGGGUACUCAAUGACUCUUGCUCAAGGCCCAUCCUUGUCACGUAGGCAGGAGAACAAGGAGGAUAAAAGAGGAACUGAAAACCACGAGGAUAGGUUUCUGACAACAGAUUCCUCAAGAAGAACGGAGGUUUCUGACAACAGAUUCCUCAUGAAGAACGGGAGGUUUCUGACAACAGAUUCCUCAAGAAGAACGGGAGGUUUCUGACAACAGAUUCCUCAUGAAGAAGAAUGGAGGUUUCUGACAAUAGAUUCCUCAUAAAGGGGAGAGAGAGAGAGAGGGAUUCCUGAAGAUUGAGGGGAUUCCUGCAUACUGUUGAACUCUCCUGAGCCUGCUGCCUGACCGCUGUUGCUGCUUCAAGAAUUGGCUCUUCGACUUCCUCGUCUACCUGCCUGCUGCCCAAGGCCGGCCACGCUGCUGCUCCCCGUCUUCUGCUGCGUUCUGCCCGGGACCUUCAAACACCGUGCAACGGGACGGCUGCUGGAUCCUGCUGGUGACUCUCCCCGCUUUACGCAACUCCUGCUUCUUUUCCAUCUUUUCUAUCGCACUCCUUCCCUUCCCCGUCUCCCUGAUUAGGUCUUAGUAAUAAAUUGGAUGGAACAA